rnacentral:rRNA from 1 species
UACAGAGGGUGCGAGCGUUAAUCGGAAUUACUGGGCGUAAAGCGCGCGUAGGCGGCUUUGCAAGUCGGGUGUGAAAUCCCCAGGCUUAACCUGGGAACUGCAUUCGAGACUGCAUUGCUAGAGUAUGGGAGAGGGAAGUGGAAUUUCCGGUGUAGCGGUAAAAUGCGUAGAUAUCGGGAGGAACACCGGUGGCGAAGGCGGGUCUCUGGGCAUUUCCUGACGCUGAGGCGCGAAAGCGUGGGGAGCAAACGGG